rnacentral:misc_RNA from 1 species
CGGAGUUCAGUCUUCCCAGGCCCACCACGCUUCGCCGUCGGCUUCGCAUGGCACCGCCAGGCAGAACGACGAGGCGAAGCGCGUCCGGCAUAGCCCGAAGGGCGACGCCGGACAGAAAGAGCGCUUCGUCUUCUGGUUACGGGGCCAUAGCUCAGCUGGGAGAGCGCGUGCUUUGCAAGCAUGAGGUCGUCGGUUCGAUCCCGUCUGGCUCCACCAGAUGGUUUGAUCACCGAGAUCUUGACCGUCGUCCGCGAAACAUCACUUCGCAUCCUGCUAGUCUGGAUAGACAGCAAGUUGCGUGUUUUCUGACAUCGUAAAGAGGAGAUCGAUCCGAGUUGGAUCGUGCAACAUAUCGUUGCGCGAGCCUUCAUUAUCUCCGGAUCAUUUCGGCGCUCGCUUCCAGCCGUGAGGUUGGAUGCGGGUUGUAAAUGAUCCUUUUAGCGAAGCUUGACCGCCUCGCUAUCGGAACGAUCUUACGAAGCAAGCUGGUCUUUCUAGUCAAUGUCCGGCUGUACGUAGCAUUCAUCGAGGGUGCGCGCCCGAGAUUUCGGUCUCUUGGCAAUCGUACAGACAACAUUCUGCCGAGUGUGUGGACAUUGAUAAUGAGAGCAAUCAAGUGCCUUAAGGGUGUUCGGUGGAUGCCUUGGCGCUGAGAGGCGAUGAAGGACGUGCUACGCUGCGAUAAGCCGUGGGGAGCUGCGAAGAAGCUUUGAUCCGCGGAUUUCCGAUGGG